AGGAGAGGAAGAAGAGGGAGGAGAAGGAACAGGAACUGAGGGAGCUGGAGAAGCAGAGACGAAUGAAAAAGGAACACCAGAACAUGUUACAGUACCUGUAUUACUUCACGUUCUGCCAUGAUGACUGUCCGGAUGACUUUCACAUAGUAACAAACUUCCCCAGGAAAACCUUGCCAUGUGAGCCAACUAGCGACAAUCCUGAACCAAUCAGUUUUGAGAAAUUCGGACUUAGAAAAAACGAAAUUCUUUUUGUACAGGAUAAUGAAGCUUAGGUGAUUUAAUCAUAAAUAAAUUAUUGACUAUUCAAAAGUGAGGUCAUUGAAAACGUAAGUUGUUAGAAACAGUGAACUUCCUUGAGAUGGCAUUUUGCAGAAAUUCAACUGAUAAGCAUUUGUCUAUCGUGAGUUUGCUUAAGGUUUUGAAGAAUUGGUGGAAAUGAUGUUCCUGCUUUAUGUCCCCUGUUUUGCUGAAUGGAUCUACUACAUUGAGAUUUUGUCUUUUAAUCAAGAGAAGUGUGUUCAGGCUGCAGCCAGUUUUAUGUAAGAAAUACAUUUUUUAUGUGUUAAUGAUAUCUAUUUGUGUUUCACUUUUCAAAAUUGUAUGUACGAAAGUAGGUUUCGUAAUGAAACACUUAUGAAAGCACAUACAAGAUGCUGCUAUGAAAAUGUACAAUAAAUAUUUUAUUUUAAGAUUUGAUAUAAUUCAUAAACUUAAACAUUAUCACCAAAUGAUAUUUGAGACUUUCUUUAAAUAAAAGAAAUACCCACCGGUAGAAUGUAUUUUA